UACAGAUAUCUCUAAUGACGUCACCCAUAGAAAUGAAUGGAGAACGUGAUGUCAUUUUGACUAGGAGAAAUGACGUAGUGGAUAUCCUUAAUGUGAAGUGUGGAUAGGAGGAAUGCUGUUGUGGAUAUCUAACAUUAAAGUUUAUACUAGGAAGAACUAGGUUGCAGAUAUCUGUAUUACAUAUCCAGAUCUUUUAUUAAAUGUUAAAACGGCUUGCCAUAAGAAGCAGUAUGGAGCCGCUUGAAGACGACGACGCUGUAUUUCUUGCUAAUGUGUUCUUGGAUGAAUGCAAGACUGCAGAAGUCUCGGAAACAGGCCCGGAGAAAUUUGUUUGGCUCGAAGAGGACGAGGAAGGUAAUCCUCUCCCAAAAAGGAGUAGAACGGGGGAGGAGCGCAAACGUGGUUCAUCCACAGAAGCACGGACCCAUCAUGUGCUCCAUCUUCUAGUGGACAACAGAGAAUGACUGGGACCAUUCAAGACAUAG